rnacentral:misc_RNA from 1 species
GGAAGUAAAAGUCGUAACAAAGUUUCCGUAGGUGAACCUGCGGAAGGAUCAUUAAUAAUAUAACUUAUUAGGACCUUAAAUAAUACCCUCGAUGCCUAGUAUAAAAUAAAAAGAAAAAAUAAAAAAACGAGAGGAUAAACCCCAAACAUCAGCUAUAUCUCAACUCUUUGUCUGAAAAAUAUUAUGAAUAAAACAAUUCAAAAUACAACUUUCAACAACGGAUCUCUUGGCUCUC